rnacentral:rRNA from 1 species
AGCGAACGCUGGCGGCAGGCUUAACACAUGCAAGUCGAACGGUCCUUCGGGAUAGUGGCGGACGGGUGAGUAACACGUGAGAACGUACCCUUAGGUUCGGAACAACACAGGGAAACUUGUGCUAAUACCGGAUAAGCCCUUCGGGGGAAAGAUUUAUCGCCUUUGGAGCGGCCCGCGUCUGAUUAGCUUGUUGGUGAGGUAGUGGCUCACCAAGGCUACGAUCAGUAGCUGGUCUGAGGGGAUGGCCAGCCACACUGGGACUAAGACACGGCCCAGACUCCUACGGGAGGCAGCAGUGGGGAAUCUUGCGCAAUGGGCGAAAGCCUGACGCAGCCAUGCCGCGUGGAUGAUGAAGGUCUUAGGAUUGUAAAAUCCUUUCACCGGGGACGAUAAUGACGGUACCCGGAGAAGAAGCCCCGGCUAACUUCGUGCCAGCCGCCGCCGUAA